rnacentral:rRNA from 1 species
AGAGUUUGAUCCUGGCUCAGGACGAACGCUGGCGGCGUGCUUAACACAUGCAAGUCGAACGAUGAAGCCCAGCUUGCUGGGUGGAAGAGUGGCGAACGGGUGAGUAACACGUGAGUAACCUGCCCUUGACUCUGGGAUAAGCGCUGGAAACGGCGUCUAAUACUGGAUACGACCUAUCACCGCAUGGUGUGUGGGUGGAAAGAUUUAUCGGUUUUGGAUGGACUCGCGGCCUAUCAGCUUGUUGGUGAGGUAAUGGCUCACCAAGGCGACGACGGGUAGCCGGCCUGAGAGGGUGACCGGCCACACUGGGACUGAGACACGGCCCAGACUCCUACGGGAGGCAGCAGUGGGGAAUAUUGCACAAUGGGCGCAAGCCUGAUGCAGCCAUGCCGCGUGUAUGAAGAAGGCCUUCGGGUUGUAAAGUACUUUCAGCGAGGAGGAAGGCAUUAAGGUUAAUAACCUUAGUGAUUGACGUUACUCGCAGAAGAAGCACCGGCUAACUCCGUGCCAGCAGCCGCGGUAA